rnacentral:rRNA from 1 species
GACGAACGCUGGCGGCGUGCUUAACACAUGCAAGUCGAACGGAAAGGCCCUGCUUGCCGGGUACUCGAGUGGCGAACGGGUGAGUAACACGUGGGUGAUCUGCCCUGCACUUCGGCAUAAGCUUGGGAAACUGGGUCUAAUACCGGAUAGGAACCAUCUUUAGUGUGGUGGUUGGAAAGUUUUUUCGGUGUAGGAUGAGCUCGCGGCCUAUCAGCCUGUUGGUGGGGUAAUGGCCUACCAAGGCGGCGACGGGUAGCCGGCCUGAGAGGGUGUACGGCCACAUUGGGACUGAGAUACGGCCCAGACUCCUACGGGAGGCAGCAGUGGGGAAUAUUGCACAAUGGGCGCAAGCCUGAUGCAGAGACGCCGCGUGGGGGAUGAAGGCCUUCGGGUUGUAAACUCCUUUCGCUAGGGACGAAGCGUUGUUGUGACGGUACCUAGAUAAGAAGCACCGGCUAACUACGUG